GUGGGGAAUAUUGGACAAUGGGCGCAAGCCUGAUCCAGCAAUGCCGCGUGUGUGAAGAAGGCCUGCGGGUUGUAAAGCACUUUUAUCGGGAAAGAAAAGCUUAGGGCUAAUACCUCUAAGCCUUGACGGUACCCGAUGAAUAAGCACCGGCUAACUCCGUGCCAGCAGCCGCGGUAAUACGGAGGGUGCAAGCGUUAAUCGGAAUUACUGGGCGUAAAGCGAGUGUAGGUGGUCGAGUAAGUCGGAUGUGAAAGCCCUGGGCUUAACCUGGGAAUUGCAUUCGAUACUGCUUGGCUAGAGUCUGAUAGAGGGAAGUGGAAUUCCAGGUGUAGCGGUGAAAUGCGUAGAUAUCUGGAGGAACAUCAGUGGCGAAGGCGGCUUCCUGGAUCAAGACUGACACUGAGGCUCGAAAGCGUGGGGAGCAAACAGGAUUAGAUACCCUUGUAGUCC
rnacentral:rRNA from 1 species